rnacentral:tRNA from 3 species
CUAAAAUCCGUUGGCUUUAUAGACCAUGAGGGUUCAAGUCCCUCUACCCCCA